AAGGGCAGAGGGAAGGAGGGAGGGCUAAAAGCUUGUAGGGAUCUUGUAUCUAGCCCUGUGCAACCAUGCUGGUUUAAACCAACAAAGUAGGAGCAGCUUACACUCACCUGCUGGGACACAAUCACACUGCCCAGUGUGCACGCAUGUGUGUGUGUGUGUGUGUGUGUGUGUGUGUGUGUGUGUGUGUGCAUAAACACACCCACAGCCACACACCCAGACACACACCCACAACCCCACACACACACAGACACACACCCACAACCCCACACACACACAGACACACACCCACAACCACACACCCAGACACACACCCACAACCCCACACCCAGACACACACCCACAACCACACACACAGACACACACACACACAACCCCACACACAGACACACACCCACAAACCCACACCCAGACACACACCCACAACCACACAUACAAAACCACACACACACACAGACACAAAACCACAGACACAGAGACAGACACACACCCACAACCCCACACACAGACAUACACCCACAACCACACAUACAAAACCACACACACACAGACACACACACAAAACCACAGACACACACCCACAACCACACACACAGACACACUCACUACCACAAUCAUACACACAGACACACACCCACAACCCCACACCCAGACAUACACCCACAACCACACAUACAAAACCACACACACACAGACACAAAACCACAGACACAGACACACAUCCACAACCACACACACACUCACUACCACAAUCAUACACACAGACACACACCCACAACCCCACACCCACAACCACACAUACAAAACCACACACACACAGACACAAAACCACAGACACAGAGACAGACACACACCCACACCCACAACCCCACACACAGACACACACCCACAACCCCACACCCAGACACACACCCACAACCACACAUACAAAACCACACACACACACAGACACAAAACCACAGACACAGAGACAGACACACACCCACACACAGACACACACCCACAACCACACAUACAAAACCACACACACACAGACACACACACAAAACCACAGACACACACCCACAACCACAACCACACACACAGACACUCACUACCACAAUCAUACACACAGACACACACCCACAACCACACACACAGUGUGUGUGUGUGUGUGUGUGUGUGUGUGUGUGUGUGUGUGUGUGUGUGUGUGUGCGAGUUUCUUUAGCAAAACCCAGUAGCUGGGACAG
rnacentral:lncRNA from 1 species